UACGUAGGUGGCAAGCGUUGUCCGGAUUUACUGGGCGUAAAGGGCGUGCAGGCGGUUUGUUAAGUCUAGGGUGAAAGCCCACGGCUCAACCGUGGAGGGUCAUUGGAAACUGGGGAACUUGAGUGCAGAAGAGGAAAGUGGAAUUCCAAGUGUAGCGGUGAAAUGCGUAGAGAUUUGGAGGAACACCAGUGGCGAAGGCGACUUUCUGGUCUGUAACUGACACUGAGGCGCGAAAGCGUGGGGAGCAAACAGG
rnacentral:rRNA from 1 species